AUGCUAAUGGGAAUGUUAUAAUACCCUUAUAUUUAUUGCCAUUCUCAACUUAGUCAGCUGUGUUUCUUUUGUUGCAGUUGAUUAUCAUGACUGGUAAAUUU